GCGGCAAGCGCCUCUGACUCCAGCUCUAGACCACCAGCGGCGAUGGCACCAUGUCCAUCUCCAUGGAACGGCGAGGCUGCGGCGAUGGCGAGCGCGAAACGCGAAGCUGCGGCGAUGGUGAGCGCGAGAUGCAACCGUACUGCGGCGACGGCGAGCACAGGACGCGAGGCGAGCGGCGGGCGGCGAGCGAAACACGAAGCUGCGGCGACGGCGAGCGCGAGACGCAACCGGACUGCGGCGACG
rnacentral:lncRNA from 1 species